rnacentral:rRNA from 1 species
AGUGGAAGCGUCUGGAAAGGCGCGCGAUACAGGGUGACAGCCCCGUACACAAAAGCGCAUGUGCUGUGAGCUCGAUGAGUAGGGCGGGACACGUGGUAUCCUGUCUGAAUAUGGGGGGACCAUCCUCCAAGGCUAAAUACUCCUGACUGACCGAUAGUGAACCAGUACCGUGAGGGAAAGGCGAAAAGAACCCCGGCGAGGGGAGUGAAAAAGAACCUGAAACCGUGUACGUACAAGCAGUGGGAGCACCCUUUGGGGUGUGACUGCGUACCUUUUGUAUAAUGGGUCAGCGACUUAUAUUCUGUAGCAAGGUUAACCGUAUAGGGGAGCCGGAGGGAAACCGAGUCUUAACCGGGCGUUAAGUUGCAGGGUAUAGACCCGAAACCCGGUGAUCUAGCCAUGGGCAGGUUGAAGGUUGGGUAACACUAACUGGAGGACCGAACCGACUAAUGUUGAAAAAUUAGCGGAUGACCUGUGGCUGGGGGUGAAAGGCCAAUCAAACCGGGAGAUAGCUGGUUCUCCCCGAAAGCUAUUUAGGUAGCGCCUCGUGAAUUCAUCUCCGGGGGUAGAGCACUGUUUCGGCUAGGGGGCCAUCCCGGCUUACCAACCCGAUGCAAACUGCGAAUACCGGAGAAUGUUAUCACGGGAGACACACGGCGGGUGCUAACGUCCGUCGUGAAGAGGGAAACAACCCAGACCGCCAGCUAAGGUCCCAAAGUCAUGGUUAAGUGGGAAACGAUGUGGGAAGGCCCAGACAGCCAGGAUGUUGGCUUAGAAGCAGCCAUCAUUUAAAGAAAGCGUAAUAGCUCACUGGUCGAGUCGGCCUGCGCGGAAGAUGUAACGGGGCUAAACCAU